GGAGAGGUCGCAUAGUCCGGUCUAGUGCGCCACACUCGAAAUGUGGUGAGGCCGCAAGGUCUCCGUGGGUUCAAAUCCCACCCUCUCCGCCA
rnacentral:tRNA from 2 species